rnacentral:tRNA from 1 species
GGUAAUUGUCGCCAAGUGGUUAAGGCAGUGGGUUGUGGUUCCAUUAUUCGCCGGUUCAAAUCCGGUCUAUUACCC